UCCGGUUCAUCACCGGCAGUCUCCUUAGAGUCCCCACCAUUACAUGUUGGCAACUAAGGAUAAGGGUUGCGCUCGUUACGGGACUUAACCCAACAUCUCACAACACGAGCUGACGACAGCCAUGCAGCACCUGUCUCUAGGUUCCUUUCGGCACUCCCAAAUCUCUUCGAGAUUCCUAGGAUGUCAAGGGUAGGUAAGGUUCUUCGCGUAGCAUCGAAUUAAACCACAUGCUCCACCGCUUGUGCGGGCCCCCGUCAAUUCCUUUGAGUUUUAAUCUUGCGACCGUACUCCCCAGGCGGAAAACUUAUCGCGUUAGCUUCGAUACUGACCAGUCUAAGCUGGACAACAUCUAGUUUUCAUCGUUUACGGCGUGGACUAC
rnacentral:misc_RNA from 1 species